rnacentral:lncRNA from 1 species
UUGUCCUGGGAGAAGGCUGAGGAGCCCGAGGGGAGAGAGCGAGGGUUUGCCAACAUCCUAGCAGGUUCUGACAGAAACCGUACCCGCACCAAGGCGCACCUCCUGCCAUCCCCUCGUGACAAGGGAGCUCUGCUU